UGGCAGUGGACGAAACAGACAAAGUCUCUGCCUUCGAGGACCUUACGUUCUCGUGGGAGAAGGCUAACAAAAUAAAAAUUUGAAAUUAAAUUUCAGAAGUGUAAGUGCUAUGAAGAAAACCAAAGUGAGGAAGGGAAAGGAGAGGGGUGACAGUCACUACUUUAGAAAGGGUGGACAGGGAGGAACAUUCAUCCAGGUGGCCGUGAGCAGGGAUUAGACUGACUGCAGGAGUGAGACCUACAAAUACCCAGAGGAAGGGCCUUCCAGGCAGGGAACAGGGAAGGCUGCAGAGAAGGUAGACGCUGUAACCCUGCGAUGUUUUUACAGCCUCAGCAAGAGGAAUCACUACUGUGCCUGUGACAUCGUGUGCAAAGGGAGGGCUGGAGGAGAUAAUCUGAGAAGUGUCAAGAUGCCGGGGCCCAUGUCAGGCAGGCUCUGCGAGUGCCAUGAUCACAGACACAAUAACUGGAGCUCCAGCAGCCAUUUUGCUUGAGGAUGUUAAAGCAGAAAGGGUAGGAGACUUGAACAGACCAGCCCAAGACUGCCUGCUUCCAAAUUUAUUUUACUUUAGACAGAAGCGAACCCCGAUACUGUCACUUGAGGACUCUUCACUAGAGGCCAAAGGUAAUUGUCAGUGGAAUGACUUUCUAUGGGGUGAAGGGCACAGUAGUACCCCAUAGGAGCGUUUUGGAAAUUUGGGGAUAUAUUUUUUAUUGUCACAAUAAAUGGCACUACUUGUAUUUAGUAGACA
rnacentral:lncRNA from 1 species